UUAUUGUUUUGAAGACUUCUGUUUAAACCUGUAUCAGUUACAAAGUUGACAUAGCAACUAACUCAAAGGAAGAAUGGCAAAGAAUCUGAUUGCAUUGUUUAGUUACGCUUCAGCAAUAAAAUGAGUAUAGGGUUUGAUUCAAUAAUAGCUGUCAAGUGUGCAGGCUGUAAUUGUACUACUGCUCACAGGCAAGAGUUCUGAAGCCAGAUGACAAAAAAGAAACUUUUCACCAUGGUGGUCUCAGAUGAGAAAUGAAGCCUUGGCAAGAAAUCUGACUUCAUUGCGGUCCCAUCAAGCUAUGUCCAAAAACAAGACAGCAGUUUAGAGAUAAAUGCUAUUAAUUCUGAUGUAAAAUUCUUAGUCUUUUGGAAAAUCAAAACAGUACUUUCUGACUCUGCUACUUGAUAUCUCGGGAAACAACCUCAGGGCUGCAGGACGAUAGGUAAAACCUGGCAUAC
rnacentral:lncRNA from 1 species